UGCGCCGUGGGGGAAUUGGCAGACCCACCCGCCUCUGGAGCGGGGUUGUUCCUGGUUCGAGUCCAGGCGGCGCAG
rnacentral:tRNA from 1 species